CAAUCCCUUGGCAGAUAGAUAGUUUCACUCAAAGGCCUCCUUUACAGUUUUAAAAAUUUGCUUAGAUGAUGAUUACAGGUGUUGCGAAAGCCUCAAUUUCGUCAGGGGUGAUUAUAGAAGAAAGAUUUCGGCAAGAUUUUUUUGUGGCUGCCUCUAACUUUACGUAUGACAGGUGAAGAGAGAUUUUUAAAAAAAGAUAGACCUACAGUGCCAUGAAAAGUAUUUGGCCCCUUCCUAAUUUCUUCUGUUUUGCAUAUUUGUCACACAGAUUUCAGAUCUUCAAAUAAAAUUUAAAAUAAGACAAAGACGACCUGAGUAAACACAAAAUAUAGUUUUUAAAUUAUCAUUUAAUUUAUUGAAGGAAACAAGUUUUCCAACACCAACUGACCCUGUGUGAAAAAAGUAAUUGCCCCCUUAGUUACUCAUUCAACCAAUGAACCAAACUGAACUGAUAAAUGGGUUCAAUUAGACUAAACACAAUCAGGCCUGAUUACUGCCAGCCCUGUUGAAUCUAAACAUCGCUUAAACAGAACCUUUCCAGUGAAGUUGGCUAAAAGGUCUCAACAAGCAGCACAGUAUGCAGUAUGAGAAAUUCCAGAAGAGAUUAGAAAGAAAGUUAUUGAAAUAUAUCAGUCUGGAAAGGAUUACAAAGCCAUUUCUAAGGCUCUGCAACUCCAGCGAACCACAGUGAGAGCCAUUAUCUCCAAAUGGAGAAAACUUGGAACAGUGGUGAAUGUUCCCAGGAGUGGCCAGCCUACAAAAAUUCCUCCAAGAGCGCAUCGACAACUCAUCCAGGAAGUCACAAAAAAACCCAGACGAACAUCCAAGGAACUGCAGGCCAAGAGGAACAUAAAGGCUUGUCUCACAUUUGCCAAAAAACACAUUGAUGACCCUCAAGCCUUUUGGGAUAAUGUUCUGUGAACUGAUGAGUCGAAAGUGGACAUUUUUGGAAGACAUUGGUUCUGUUACAUCUGGCGUAAAGCUAACACAGCAUUCCACAAUAAGAACAUCAUACCAACAGUCAAACAUGGUAGUGGUAGGGUGAUUUCUGAGGGUGAAGUCCGUGAUCUUAAGUCAAUGAUCCCAAGCACAAGAGCAAGUCCACCUCUGAAUGGCUCAAAAGAAACUAAAUUAAGGUUCUGGAGUGGCCCAGUCAAAGUCCUGACUUGAAUCCAAUUGAGAUGAUGUGGCAGGACCUUAAAGGUUCUGUAUAUGAGAUUUUGAACAUUAUUAUAGCAGCAAACAACUAUUUGUUAUGUAAAGAUAUAGUGGAGUAAUGGCGUCCUGAGCAGAAAAGGAAAAGUCACACUCCCUCUGUGUGUGUUGUCAUCUGAGGUUCUCUGUUCUUUGCUUUGGUAGCCGGUCUGGCCACUCGCGCAUGUUAGUGCAUGUGAGUCCCUCCCUGUGAAACUGUUCGUCUAUGAGGAGAGCGAUAUAACGGCCGUUUAAUUUCUGUUUGUUGGAACAGUGGAAAGAUUAACAAAGACGGUUUUGUGCGUUUCUGGCAGCAGUCACAGUGUUCUUCAUCAGCAUGGCAACUGUCAUCGGACCCACGCCUCCGGGAACAGACAUUCUAAUGAACUUCACCCUCAAAGUCCACGUCACCGAUGAGUCUGAGUUUCCCUGUUUUCGGGUCCUGGAUGCGGUUUAUGCCCACGUCGAUGACUGCUGCACCUUCUUUCACCAUGUCUGCUGUAAUCAGUCCAGGAACACCUAUGCACAACAAGCGGGGGGGGUGCUUUGUGAAUUGUUCCUAGAAAAUUAUUUCAAUUACACUACCACAUGGGGCUGAGAACAUCAGACUGCAACCCAUGGAUACAUCAUGGCUAGAUUAAGAUUUAAGAUUUAGAUCUUAAAAGUAGAUUUUGACACAGGGCAAACCUGCCACUGGUCCCUUACUGUGUCUGUUGAUAUUGUGAUUUAGUGCUGCAUAUUCCCAAAGUUACAAUUAAUCAAAUUACUAAAUACUGCCAAAUCAGUGAAUAGAUGUUUACAAACACUUAUUUCAGACCUGCGUCACUUUGUUGAUGGAUGGUCUCUCUAAAUCUUGCUGCUGGUCAGGCUGAACAUGUUGACUUGACUCAGACAACGAGAAAUUAAAGUUGAAAAAACCAUUACUGUUUGGUCGGUUAGUUAAAAGGCAUCUGCAGCCACCCCACAUCAGGACAGAGAUAAAGGUUCUGCGUCCAUUAAGUUCAUAUCAAAGUCACUGAACGGUGAGCUGUCUUUUCAUUCCUGCAGUGAUGCUUGUCAUCUCCUUUUAAUCACAGGUUCUAGUGCAAUACCGUGAGAAUUACUACUUCACUUCAGACUUAAAAGGCAACAUAGAAGAAUAAGAUGAUACCUCAACUGACUGUCUACAGGGAAGGAAAUAACUAAGCAUUGUAUAUUUAUGUUGAUAACCUCUCCACUUUGAAGUUGGCUGUCAGAAACAUGUAAAUUUGAACUCCUCAGACUGUAAUUAUGGUGCUACAAUGGGAUCAAGUCUGAGUCAAAUAACAAUUAAGAACCAGAUUAAACUUUAGAAAAUACCACUGCUCAUGUACAGUAUGGCACACAGACAUCAGAGGAGCUCAGUGACACGCUAACCUCAAACUACACCCUUAGUCUAAUUUCCCACUAACUGCAAUUACAAGUUCCACAACACUUAAAUCCCCAACACACACUUGAUUUUCACUAAACCCAAAUGCGUGCUUAUUCCCAAGUGACAUGAAAACAGUUUUUGAUAGUUGUACACUGGAUGUCUGGGGUUCACUUAAAUAUACAGCACAGUGUAAAUGCACUUCCUGAUUUCCAAAAGUCAAACUUAACAGUUGAAUGACCAGAAAAUGAGAUGCCCUUCCCAGAGAGCUGCUUUUAGUCAUCAGGGAAAAGCCUAUUUAUUACAAAGGACGUACAACACAGCACCCACUAAGGCAUAUACAGAUACAUCAGAGAUACUCCUGCCCUGCAUUGACUGAUUGUCUCACAUUACAGCUGCCACAGAUCACUAUUCUUCAAGAAAGCUGUAAUCCGUGACCACAGUUGGAGCAGAGUAACAGGUAUAUAUACUGAAUAUUCAGUGUUAAUUAUUUCAGGUGAGAUCACUUCAAGUAAGGGCUGGUGAGCACUUUCACAAUCAUUCCUGCUGGUUGCGUUACCAGCCUACAUAAUUCCCUCUGUGGCAGUUCCAAUAUAAUGAAAUGACACGUGACACUGGUUUAAGAAGUGUACACUCACACAUUUUAAACUCUCCAGUUGAACAAUAUCCAGUUACUUGAAAGUGAAAACAACGAUGAACGAUGAAGUUAUUACUCAGACUGUGUGUGUCAAUUUGAUUUUCUGUGAGUGACCACGUGGUUCAUCUUUGACCUAAUGUCUUUAUUGUAGUUGUGCUUACAAAAGAGUGGACAACUAUAAUGGACAUUGCUGGGCUUUCUGUUAGGCACAGACCGUCACACUGCAACCUCACGUGAAAAUUUAAUUAGUUUUUGCAAAAAAUCAAAAAGGCAAAAAUUUGAUUCAAAAAUAAUUUAUAUUAACUUAAUUGACUCCAUUCAAAAUUGGCUUGUCAUUGUCAGAUUUGAACAGAAAUACCCUAUUACGGAUUAAAUAUAUAAAACCCCACACCCAACUACCAAUAACAUAAUUAAACAAUACACAUUGCAUAUAAAAAGGUGGCUAAUUGAUUCAUUUAUUAGUCGAUCAGAAAGAUUACUCAGCAACUAUUUUGAUAAUCAUGCUAUUGUUUAAGGAAUUGUAUUUAGCAAAAAGGCCAAACAGUCAUGGGUUCCAGGAUCUCAGUUAUGAGGAUUUGCUGCUUUUCUCUACCUUAUGUGAUAGUAAACUGGAUAUCUUUGAAUUUUUGACAUCAUGUUGGACAUAAAGCUGUUUUUUCUCAUC